AAGCUUCAUUUUGAGAAUCAUACAAAAACUAAACGAUAGAGUUGGACUCGCGAGCUCUCACUUAAAGAAAAAUGCUUAUGAACUAAGCAUAUGCUCUUUAACUCGUUUAAGGCUUAAGAAAAUGGACUUGAUCCCGGUGGCAAUAUGAAAACGCAAUAUCAACAUGACAAUCACCCAGAAGCUAUCAAAACUAGGUGGUUUGAACCUCUUGUCUGGUGUCUUCACCAACCCCUCAAAACCUCACCAAAAUCAUGUCUUUCUGAGCAACAUCGGCUUCUUUCGAUGUGGGUAGUUCCAUUCACGCCGUUGUUAUCAAGUUGGGUUUUUGUUCGAAUGUCUAUAUAUGCAGUUCUCUCGUCGACAUGUACGGCAAAUGUGGCAAGUCGUGGAAUGCCCAGAAGGUGUUCGACGAAACGCCUCACAGAAAUGUAAUGACUUGGAACUCUUUGAUUUCUGGUUAUUUGCAAGCUGGUUCGCCACUCAGAGCAACUCGUUUGUUUCUGGACAUGUUAAAGGUCGGUGGUCGGAACAGAACCGCCGACGACGUUCAGCUUUUCGGGGGUGUUGGUGUGUUGCGCACAGUUAGAAGCUGAAGAGCUUGGAGCUCAGGUGCAUGGUUUGGGCUUGAAAAUGGGGGAUUUGCUAGAGAGUCAUGGCGGGUGUUUAAUCAAAUGCGAGACAGGAAUGUUGUGACAUGGACUUCCAUGGUUACUGGGUGCGCGCAGAGUGGGCAGGCUGAUGAGGCAAUGACUUUGGUGAAAGAAAUGCUGCUGUUGGGUCUCAAGCCGAAUUAUGUUACUUAUAAUAGUUUGUUGAGUUCAUUUGCUAGCAUGGACUUUUGGGAUUGUUGCAGGCAAAUCCAUUGCCGGAUAGUGAAAGAAGGGUUUGAUUCCCACGUGUAUAUUGUGGUUACCCUUUUGACCGUAUAUUCAGAGUCUAAUAGUAGCUCGGAGGAUUUCCGUGCGCUUUGCUCGUGUGCUUCAGUGUGGGAUCAAAUCUCGUGGAAUGCAGUAAUUGCGGGUUUUUGUAAUAUUGGGAGCAGUGAGGAAGCUCUGAAGUGUUUCUCUUAAAUGAGGCAGGCUGGUGUUGCUGUGGAUUUUUUCUCAUUUGCAAGCAUUUUAAGAGCAGCAGGAACUCUUUCAGCACUUGUAGAGGGAAAGAAAAUCCAUGCUCUCAUCUUCCUGAGUGGACAUGCUUCAAAUUUAUGUGUUCAGAAUGGGCUUGUUUCAAUGUAUGGAAGAUGCGGUGCCAUCCAUGAUGCAAAGUGGGUGUUUACUUUGAUGAAAGAACAUGAUGUGGUCUCCUGGAAUUCAUUAUUAUCAGGUUAUGCACAUCAUGGAUUUGGGAAGGAGACUGUUGAAUUGUUUGAGCAAAUGAGAAGAACAGAGGUCAAACCAGAUAAUACCAUCUUCCUGAUUGUACUAACUGCCUGUAGCCAUGUUGGUUUAUUGGACAAAGGGCUCGAGUAUUUCAAUCUAAUGAGAAAUGAUGAUUUGCCUGAACCACCCAAGGUGGAGCAUUACGCUACCAUAGUUGAUCUUUUUGGUCGGGCUGGAAACCUUCACAAAGUGGAAGCCUUCUUCAAUACCAUGCCAAUAGAGCCGGGUGCCUCAGUAUACAAAGCUCUACUUAGUGCGUGCCUAGUUCAUGGAAACAGAGAACUUGCUCUUCGUUCUGCAACGAAGCUUCAACAACUGUGCCAAAUGAUCCUGCAACUUACAUACUGCUAUCAAAUGUGUUGUUGACAAGAGGCUCCUGGGAUGAUGCAGCAGGAGUAUGGAAGCUCAUGUAUGAUAGAGGAAUAAGAAAAACUCCUGGUUAUAGUUGGAUUUGAUUCAACAUUACAAUAUGACGAAAACGUGGAUACAACUUUUAAGAUGGACAUAAAAAUACCUGUUCUUGUAGAAGCUGAGACACUCAUUCUUUCUCUUCUCCCUUUCUCCGGCCACCAUCAUAUUUUGUAGAAGCUACAACAUGGUCAUGGAAUCAGAUGACGACUAGGACAAGGACAAGAAGGAGUCAUUUGAUGUUGGAAUGGCAGGACUCGGAAAGAUUUUGUUCUUAGAUUCAGCUAAACUCUGAGGUAUAUACGUGAUUUGGAUUUUGGGCUGAGAGCUACAUAUUCCUUGCAGACCAAAAUACCACAGCUUUUAAAGAGGUAGCAAUUAUCCUUCACCCACGUGUUGGCGAAUAUGCUUUUGGGUUUAUUACAUCAACUGUUACCCUUCAGGUUCUCAUCUUUAUGUUUCUGUUCAUUUCUUUCCUGUCUAAAAUAGUCUUGUGGUUGAUAUUCUUUAUUUCAAAUCAUAGAGUUAAAUUUAUUUGCUCUAAUACAUUUGACUUUUCAAUUCAUUUAGAAUGAAAUAAGAAUAAAAAUACUUUAAGAAACAAGCAGUGGUUUAGAAAUUGUUAUGAAAGGCCCUUAUAAAGGUUACCCAUGUCAAAGCUGUUGGGCAUUGAUUGAUGUGGUUGUUCCAUCUUCGGUAUAGAAGGUCAUUGAAGAUGCAUUCUCAUCAUCAGCAUCUAUAGAAUAUUGUUGGGUAUAUGGGACCAAUGAUUUGCCCUGGGAAUCUCCCAGCUGGUGAACUUUAAAUGCUUUCCUUGCUGAUAUAUUUCUGGUAGAAGUUGGUUGAUACGUGGGCCUUGAAAGCAGAAGAUAAAUAUGUCCUUACUUUGUAUAUCAUUCAUUCAUAUCAUUUACCAGACAAAAGAGAAGAUCCUAUUGGAUAAUGUUUUUGUUCUAAGGUCUGAUACUUUUGUAUUGGAAUAUUCCAUCAAUUAAAACAUGCCAAAGACUGUGCACACCUUACUUGAGACUUAUAUGGUAAUAGGAUUUCAUACUAUUUGGUUCUAGUUUUCUUCCGAUUUCUUAUGUUUCCUUGCUUUAUUAUUCUGUAUACAGUUUGCCUGCAAAGAAAUGCUGUCCUACAUUAGGAGGAUCUUUUUCCUUUACUCCAACUAAAAAAAUGACUUUGGGCUUGGAGUUUUUGACCAGCCACCAAGUAUGUCAAGUAUUGUCUUUUAGUUUGAUGUGUCAAACACUUGCUAAUAUGUGGUUUUUCUCUCUUUUUUCUUCUUUAUUUUCUUUUCAGAGAGAUAAUGAAUAUGAAGAGUUAUGUAGUGUUUUUGUCCCAACAAAUCAUCUAUAUAUAGGUGAAAUAUUUCUCGUUGACUCCAAAUAUAUCAUAAGACCAAAUCUGUCUAUCCGAGAAGGCAUAGGGGACGUGAAAUCGUAUACAGUGAUCUUGAUUGCAAUGCUAUUUACUAUUAUCCUUGGCUCUCACAAGGGAUGGUUUAAUUGGUAAAGACCCAUGCUUUUGGCAGCAUACAAGGGUGGAACUAGGAAAAAUUUAAGGGGAGGGCAAAGGCAGCAUAGGUCCUUAAAUUUUUGUUUGCAAGAAACUACCUGGGCUGAGUAUUCCUUGUGGGUGGUUUUGCCCUUGACAGCAUAGGCCCUUAAUACAGCUCUUCUAGAGCACUUUAGGCCGCCAUGACUUCCAUGUUCUUGUUGUAGACGUGGUUGAGCUCUCUGCACUUCAGGUCUGCCCAGCUGAAACAGUGGGCAAAACAGUUUCUUCAGUACUUAUAAAGCUCAAAUUAGAUAUUGUGUAUAGAUUUAAUAGUUGAUGAUGUGCUAGAGAAGUUCCAUUACAUUUCCAGUUUCUCCCUUUAGAGAAAUCUAAAGCAUGUCAUGAUUUUAGAUA